AUUGAACGCUGGCGGCAGGCUUAACACAUGCAAGUCGAGCGGAGAUGAGGUGCUUGCACCUUAUCUUAGCGGCGGACGGGUGAGUAAUGCUUAGGAAUCUGCCUAUUAGUGGGGGACAACAUUCCGAAAGGAAUGCUAAUACCGCAUACGCCCUACGGGGGAAAGCAGGGGAUCUUCGGACCUUGCGCUAAUAGAUGAGCCUAGGUCGGAUUAGCUAGUUGGUGGGGUAAAGGCCUACCAAGGCGACGAUCUGUAGCGGGUCUGAGAGGAUGAUCCGCCACACUGGGACUGAGACACGGCCCAGACUCCUACGGGAGGCAGCAGUGGGGAAUAUUGGACAAUGGGCGGAAGCCUGAUCCAGCCAUGCCGCGUGUGUGAAGAAGGCCUUUUGGUUGUAAAGCACUUUAAGCGAGGAGGAGGCUACCUGGAUUAAUACUCUAGGAUAGUGGACGUUACUCGCAGAAUAAGCACCGGCUAACUCUGUGCCAGCAGCCGCCGUAAAAC
rnacentral:rRNA from 1 species